AUUGAACGCUGGCGGCAUGCUUUACACAUGCAAGUCGAACGGCAGCACGGGCUUCGGCCUGGUGGCGAGUGGCGAACGGGUGAGUAAUGCGUCGGAACGCGCCGAGUAAUGGGGGAUAACGCAUCGAAAAGGUGUGCUAAUACCGCAUACGCUCUGAGGAGGAAAGCGGGGGACCUUCGGGCCUCGCGUUAUUCGAGCGGCCGACGUCUGAUUAGCUAGUUGGUGGGGUAAAGGCUCACCAAGGCGACGAUCAGUAGCGGGUCUGAGAGGAUGAUCCGCCACACUGGGACUGAGACACGGCCCAGACUCCUACGGGAGGCAGCAGUGGGGAAUUUUGGACAAUGGGCGAAAGCCUGAUCCAGCCAUG
rnacentral:rRNA from 1 species